UGGGUAGUUUGAGAACAAGAGGAAUUGUG
rnacentral:piRNA from 1 species